rnacentral:rRNA from 1 species
AAACGACUUUUGGCAACGGAUAUCCCGGCUCUUGCAUCGAUGAAGAACGUAGCGAAAUGCGAUACUUGGUGUGAAUUGCAGAAUCCCGUGAACCAUCGAGUUUUUGAACGCAAGUUGCGCCCGAUGCCAUUAGGCUGAGGGCACGUCUGCCUGGGUGUCACGU